GCGUGCUAAUCUGCGAUAAGCGCCGGUAAGGUGAUAUGAACCGUUAUAACCGGCGAUACCCGAAUGGGGAAACCCAGUGUGACUCGUCACACUAUCAUUAACUGAAUCCAUAGGUUAAUGAGGCGAACCGGGGGAACUGAAACAUCUAAGUACCCCGAGGAAAAGAAAUCAACCGAGAUUCCCCCAGUAGCGGCGAGCGAACGGGGAGGAGCCCAGAGCCUGAAUCAGCAUGUGUGUUAGUGGAAGCGUCUGGAAAGGCGCGCGAUACAGGGUGACAGCCCCGUACACAAAAGCGCAUGUGCUGUGAGCUCGAUGAGUAGGGCGGGACACGUGGUAUCCUGUCUGAAUAUGGGGGGACCAUCCUCCAAGGCUAAAUACUCCUGACUGACCGAUAGUGAACCAGUACCGUGAGGGAAAGGCGAAAAGAACCCCGGCGAGGGGAGUGAAAAAGAACCUGAAACCGUGUACGUACAAGCAGUGGGAGCACCCUUUGGGUGUGACUGCGUACCUUUUGUAUAAUGGGUCAGCGACUUAUAUUCUGUAGCAAGGUUAACCGAAUAGGGGAGCCGGAGGGAAACCGAGUCUUAAUUGGGCGUUAAGUUGCAGGGUAUAGACCCGAAACCCGGUGAUCUAGCCAUGGGCAGGUUGAAGGUUGGGUAACACUAACUGGAGGACCGAACCGACUAAUGUUGAAAAAUUAGCGGAUGACCUGUGGCUGGGGGUGAAAGGCCAAUCAAACCGGGAGAUAGCUGGUUCUCCCCGAAAGCUAUUUAGGUAGCGCCUCGUGAAUUCAUCUCCGGGGGUAGAGCACUGUUUCGGCUAGGGGGCCAUCCCGGCUUACCAACCCGAUGCAAACUGCGAAUACCGGAGAAUGUUAUCACGGGAGACACACGGCGGGUGCUAACGUCCGUCGUGAAGAGGGAAACAACCCAGACCGCCAGCUAAGGUCCCAAAGUCAUGGUUAAGUGGGAAACGAUGUGGGAAGGCCCAGACAGCCAGGAUGUUGGCUUAGAAGCAGCCAUCAUUUAAAGAAAGCGUAAUAGCUCACUGGUCGAGUCGGCCUGCGCGGAAGAUGUAACGGGGCUAAACCAUGCACCGAAGCUGCGGCAGCGACACUGUGUGUUGUUGGGUAGGGGAGCGUUCUGUAAGCCUGUGAAGGUGUGUCGUGAGGCAUGCUGGAGGUAUCAGAAGUGCGAAUGCUGACAUAAGUAACGAUAAAGCGGGUGAAAAGCCCGCUCGCCGGAAGACCAAGGGUUCCUGUCCAACGUUAAUCGGGGCAGGGUGAGUCGACCCCUAAGGCGAGGCCGAAAGGCGUAGUCGAUGGGAAACGGGUUAAUAUUCCCGUACUUGGUGUUACUGCGAAGGGGGGACGGAGAAGGCUAUGUUGGCCGGGCGACGGUUGUCCCGGUUUAAGCGUGUAGGUGUGUGUUCCAGGUAAAUCCGGUUCACUUUAACACUGAGGCGUGACGACGAGGCACUACGGUGCUGAAGCAACAAAUGCCCUGCUUCCAGGAAAAGCCUCUAAGCAUCAGGUAACAUCAAAUCGUACCCCAAACCGACACAGGUGGUCAGGUAGAGAAUACCAAGGCGCUUGAGAGAACUCGGGUGAAGGAACUAGGCAAAAUGGUGCCGUAACUUCGGGAGAAGGCACGCUGACACGUAGGUGAAGUGAUUUACUCAUGGAGCUGAAGUCAGUCGAAGAUACCAGCUGGCUGCAACUGUUUAUUAAAAACACAGCACUGUGCAAACACGAAAGUGGACGUAUACGGUGUGACGCCUGCCCGGUGCCGGAAGGUUAAUUGAUGGGGUCAGCGCAAGCGAAGCUCCUGAUCGAAGCCCCGGUAAACGGCGGCCGUAACUAUAACGGUCCUAAGGUAGCGAAAUUCCUUGUCGGGUAAGUUCCGACCUGCACGAAUGGCGUAAUGAUGGCCAGGCUGUCUCCACCCGAGACUCAGUGAAAUUGAACUCGCUGUGAAGAUGCAGUGUACCCGCGGCAAGACGGAAAGACCCCGUGAACCUUUACUAUAGCUUGACACUGAACAUUGAGCCUUGAUGUGUAGGAUAGGUGGGAGGCUUUGAAGUGUGGACGCCAGUCUGCAUGGAGCCGACCUUGAAAUACCACCCUUUAAUGUUUGAUGUUCUAACGUGGACCCGUUACCCGGGUUGCGGACAGUGUCUGGUGGGUAGUUUGACUGGGGCGGUCUCCUCCUAAAGAGUAACGGAGGAGCACGAAGGUUGGCUAAUCCUGGUCGGACAUCAGGAGGUUAGUGCAAUGGCAUAAGCCAGCUUGACUGCGAGCGUGACGGCGCGAGCAGGUGCGAAAGCAGGUCAUAGUGAUCCGGUGGUUCUGAAUGGAAGGGCCAUCGCUCAACGGAUAAAAGGUACUCCGGGGAUAACAGGCUGAUACCGCCCAAGAGUUCAUAUCGACGGCGGUGUUUGGCACCUCGAUGUCGGCUCAUCACAUCCUGGGGCUGAAGUAGGUCCCAAGGGUAUGGCUGUUCGCCAUUUAAAGUGGUACGCGAGCUGGGUUUAGAACGUCGUGAGACAGUUCGGUCCCUAUCUGCCGUGGGCGCUGGAGAACUGAGGGGGGCUGCUCCUAGUACGAGAGGACCGGAGUGGACGCAUCACUGGUGUUCGGGUUGUCAUGCCAAUGGCACUGCCCGGUAGCUAAAUGCGGAAGAGAUAAGUGCUGAAAGCAUCUAAGCACGAAACUUGCCCCGA
rnacentral:rRNA from 1 species